CGGCGAGCGUGAAAAAACUUGCUACAAUCAUUUUCGUACCAGUGCGUUCCUCCAAACCACCACGCUCACGUUGAUGCGAAGUUGGUCUGAAGGAGUUCAUUGGUACACAAAUCAUAAGAGCAUGGAGGACCGGAGAAU
rnacentral:miRNA from 19 species